rnacentral:rRNA from 1 species
GGACGAACGCUGGCGGCGUGCCUAAUACAUGCAAGUCGAGCGAACAGAGAAGGAGCUUGCUCCUUUGACGUUAGCGGCGGACGGGUGAGUAACACGUGGGCAACCUACCCUAUAGUUUGGGAUAACUCCGGGAAACCGGGGCUAAUACCGAAUAAUCUAUGUCACCUCAUGGUGACAUACUGAAAGACGGUUUCGGCUGUCGCUAUAGGAUGGGCCCGCGGCGCAUUAGCUAGUUGGUGAGGUAAUGGCUCACCAAGGCGACGAUGCGUAGCCGACCUGAGAGGGUGAUCGGCCACACUGGGACUGAGACACGGCCCAGACUCCUACGGGAGGCAGCAGUAGGGAAUCUUCCACAAUGGGCGAAAGCCUGAUGGAGCAACGCCGCGUGAGUGAAGAAGGUUUUCGGAUCGUAAAACUCUGUUGUAAGGGAAGAACAAGUACAGUAGUAACUGGCUGUACCUUGACGGUACCUUAUUAGAAAGCCACGGCUAACUACGUGCCAGCAGCCGCGGUAAUACGUAGGUGGCAAGCGUUGUCCGGAAUUAUUGGGCGUAAAGCGCGCGCAGGCGGUCCUUUAAGUCUGAUGUGAAAGCCCACGGCUCAACUGUGGAGGGUCAUUGGAAACUGGGGGACUUGAGUGCAGAAGAGGAAAGUGGAAUUCCAAGUGUAGCGGUGAAAUGCGUAGAGAUUUGGAGGAACACCAGUGGCGAAGGCGACUUUCUGGUCUGUAACUGACGCUGAGGCGCGAAAGCGUGGGGAGCAGACAGGAUUAGAUACCCUGGUAGUCCACGCCGUAAACGAUGAGUGCUAAGUGUUAGGGGGUUUCCGCCCCUUAGUGCUGCAGCUAACGCAUUAAGCACUCCGCCUGGGGAGUACGGU